rnacentral:rRNA from 1 species
CAGCAGCCGCGGUAAUACGAGGGGGGCAAGCGUUGUCCGGAAUUAUUGGGCGUAAAGGGCUCGCAGGCGGUUUCUUAAGUCUGAUGUGAAAGCCCCCGGCUCAACCGGGGAGGGUCAUUGGAAACUGGGAAACUUGAGUGCAGAAGAGGAGAGUGGAAUUCCACGUGUAGCGGUGAAAUGCGUAGAGAUGUGGAGGAACACCAGUGGCGAAGGCGACUCUCUGUUCUGUAACUGACGCUGAGGAGCGAAAGCGUGGGGAGCGAACAGGAUUAGAUACCCCUGUAGUCCCUGUCUCUUAUAC